AUUGAACGCUGGCGGAAUGCUUUACACAUGCAAGUCGAGCGGCAGCGCGGGGCAACCUGGCGGCGAGCGGCGAACGGGUGAGUAAUACAUCGGAACGUGCCCCAGACGUGGGGGAUAACUACUCGAAAGAGUAGCUAAUACCGCAUACGAUCUAAGGAUGAAAGCGGGGGAUCGCAAGACCUCGCGCGUUUGGAGCGGCCGAUGGCAGAUUAGGUAGUUGGUGGGGUAAAGGCUUACCAAGCCUGCGAUCUGUAGCUGGUCUGAGAGGACGACCAGCCACACUGGGACUGAGACACGGCCCAGACUCCUACGGGAGGCAGCAGUGGGGAAUUUUGGACAAUGGGCGAAAGCCUGAUCCAGCCAUUCCGCGUGCAGGAUGAAGCCUCGGGUUGUAAACUGCUUUGUACAGAACGAAAAAGACUCUGGUUAAUACCUGGAGUCCAUGACGGUACUGUAAGAAUAAGCACCGGCUAACUACGUGCCAGCAGCCGCGGUAAUACGUAGGUGCAA
rnacentral:rRNA from 1 species